rnacentral:rRNA from 1 species
CGGCAGGCUUAACACAUGCAAGUCGAACGGGCGUAGCAAUACGUCAGUGGCAGACGGGUGAGUAACGCGUGGGAACGUACCUUUUGGUUCGGAACAACACAGGGAAACUUGUGCUAAUACCGGAUAAGCCCUUACGGGGAAAGAUUUAUCGCCGAAAGAUCGGCCCGCGUCUGAUUAGCUAGUUGGUGAGGUAAAAGCUCACCAAGGCGACGAUCAGUAGCUGGUCUGAGAGGAUGAUCAGCCACAUUGGGACUGAGACACGGCCCAAACUCCUACGGGAGGCAGCAGUGGGGAAUAUUGGACAAUGGGCGAAAGCCUGAUCCAGCCAUGCCGCGUGAGUGAUGAAGGCCCUAGGGUUGUAAAGCUCUUUUGUGCGGGAAGAUAAUGACGGUACCGCAAGAAUAAGCCCCGGCUAACUUCGUGCCAGCAGCCGCGGUAAUACGAAGGGGGCUAGCGUUGCUCGGAAUCACUGGGCGUAAAGGGUGCGUAGGCGGGUUUUUAAGUCAGAGGUGAAAUCCUGGAGCUCAACUCCAGAACUGCCUUUGAUACUGAGAAUCUUGAGUUCGGGAGAGGUGAGUGGAACUGCGAGUGUAGAGGUGAAAUUCGUAGAUAUUCGCAAGAACACCAGUGGCGAAGGCGGCUCACUGGCCCGA